CCAAGUUCGUUGUGAUCUCGCAAAACAACAAGUUGGGUUGUGAGCUUGUAAAACAACCGGCUGUAAUCUGAGGGAUUAUAGUGAAAUUCUCAAGAGGUCUUGGGGAGUGGAUGUAGGUGCUGGGGUGCACCGAACCACUAUACAUCUUUGUGUUUGUGAUGCCUUAUCUCUUGUAUUUCAUGCCUUACAUUCAUUCUUGAUUGUGUAAUAUCUCUAGCUUUGUUUUCUAUAAAGUUAUAAGUGAUUGUUUAGAAUUGGCUUAGCUUCCUCUCCAUUCUUACCAUACACAUAAAUUAAAAUUGAUCAUACAACUAUAAGUUAAUUUUAGAUCAAUUGCACCCUAAGGCCAUAGUAUAAUUGCUCUAGCUUAAUUUUCCACUACUUUACUUGUAAUUGCCUAGAGCUUAAGUAAAUAACAUCUUAUCAUUCCGCUGCAUUCAAUUCAAAGUAAAAAUUAGGGAACAUAAUUUUUAGAAAACCCAAUUCACCCCCCUCUUGGGUUGUCACCUUGGGCAACAUUCAGGAAGCCUUUGAUCAAAGCAGAAUGNNNNNNNNNNNNNNNNNNNNNNNNNNNNNNNNNNNNNNNNNNNNNNNNNNNNNNNNNNNNNNNNNNNNNNNNNNNNNNNNNNNNNNNNNNNNNNNNNNNNNNNNNNNNNNNGGGAUGCAGUUUGAUUAAAGGAUUGAAUUGAAUGGUAACUUGCCACUAAAGGGUAUUUUUGGCAUUUCCACCAAAUUCCAUAUUUUCCGAGUAGACAUGACACAUUGCUAGACGUCAAUCUUGUUUUAUAGGUUUGAUCAAAUUAAAGAGUUUAAUUCGAUCACCAAUUAGAAAGGAUUCUAAUUGUUAAGUUCGGGUUCGCGCAGUUUGGACUUAAAUCGAUUAGAAGAGUUCUAAUCAAGUUGGGUCAACUCGCACUCACACCUAUUGCUGGCUAAGUAUGGAACCCAAUGAGUCACACACAAGAAAACUUAUCAAGGGUCUAAUUGGAUUAGAUCAUGUUUGCAAGAUAAACAUCCUAGCAGGUAUUGCAAACCUUAGCUCCUAAUUCGAAUUGGAUUCGAAUCUGAUUCGAAUUGGAUUCGAAUCUGAUUCUUAAUUGAUCUAAUUUGAUUAGAUCAUCUUCUAAUAUGGGUUAGCCAAGAGUUGGCACCUAAUUGGCUUGGUUUGAGUCUAAUUAGAUUAGAUUUAAUAAAUCAUUCAAUCUAGACCGUUAGAUCUUGAUCUACCGUUGGAUGAAGACAUAAUGAAGAGUUGGUUUAACCCAAUUGGAUUGGGUUAGAGGAUCUACCAUAAUUGACCAUUGGAUCUUAAUCCCACCAUUGGAUGAAGACAUAAUGGGUCAAGUGAAUGGCGCCUUGCAUUGGAGCCCUUGGAUCAUCAUCAUGAAAGAUCAAGAGGUGAGGCGUGAUGGACAUGUGAUUAGCAUGUGAUGUUGACUUGGUCAAAAUAUGGCUCCANNNNNNNNNNCAUAUCAUUUGAUACACCUCCUCACUUGAUCUGCACCUCCUCUUAUUUGAUAUGGCCCUUUAGAUGAUGCCCUUUCAUGAGAGGAUGUGUGGAUGGGAUGCAUCCCUUGGAGAUGCAUCCCUACACCUAUUAUAAAUAGGUUAGCACUCCAUGGGCUUCAUCAUUCCAAUUCCACCCCACUCCUCUCUUCUUUCUUUCUUACAUUAGUUUCUUUCUUUCUAGCAUUGCUUCUAGUGAGGGCGGACACUUGGACGCCUCGUGGAGAUUGUACACUUUGGAUUAGCGUUUGAGAUAUUCUACUAAUUCUGCAUUUAUUUUAUAUCAUUUGAUUGUAAUCAUUAAGGUGAUCUAGGCUUAAAAGGGUUUCAUGCAUAGGGACUUUAUUAAGAAAUUUUUAAAAUCCCUAGCUUCCGCUGCGCAUUAUAACAUGCUAAAACCCUUCAGUUGGUACUUUGUACAGUACGGUAUGGAAUUUUUUUUGCUGUAACAAGUGUCGAUACGCCACCCUUUCUAGGUACUGGUACCAAACUGAUACGGUAUGGUAUGCCCCGUACCGCCCAGUUCGGGCCGGUAAGGCAAAUCAUGCCUCUAAUUCAUAAUAAAUGAGGGAGGAGCAAGGCCCAGCAACACCACCACCACAAAAAGAAGUGAACGAAAGAAAGUUAGCAAAGAAAAGAAGAAAGGGAGAGAGGGAGGAGCACGGUGACAACGCGCACCACCACCGCACCCUCCCUCACCGAUGAUGAGUUCAAUGUAAUCCUCGAGUUUAUUCUAUGUUUUAAGAGAAACAAAACAAGCAAACAACCAAAAAAAUUGCUCUAAUACCAAUGAAAGAUAACAAGAACAAGGAAAGUGCAUAUCUUGUGGAAGUGUGAAUGAAACCUUGGGUUGAAUCAUUGGUCUGUUUUGGCUCUCAAGAGUUGCACAGGUCAAAGAACAAUCACAGGAAUGGAAAACUCUCUCUAGUCGCAUGCAAGAACUGUCUUCCUAGGGCAAAUGGAGGUCUCCUCUUUGUUUCUCUAUUUCUAGUCCCAAAGAUCCAAAAAGAGAGGCAUGUUUUAAUUGCAUUGAAUGGUUUUGCGUGGCUUCCGAACUGCCCAAAAUUGUUCCCCUCUCUCUUCCUCGUUUAAAAUCAAAAAGGGUCGAGUCAAGUCAGCCUAUCAUAGGCACCCAACCAUGACCCAAUUCCAACAUGAGAGUCUGAAGGUCAAAGGCCAAAGUCAUAGAUUGGGUGAGAGGUCUUCUAGUGUUAGAUUUCCUUCUCAUGCUAGGGCGGAGCCUUGAGUACCUAGUCUGCUGUAGCAACAACCGAAGCUUGCGCUAAGUUAUGGUUCAAAUCUGAUUUGAUCUGAGCUUUAUCGCAGUCUUCUCCACAGUUGGAUUGGUUGCAAGAAAGCAAGCCUAACUCGGAAAGGACAUUUUGAUGUAGGACAGCCUUGAUUAGGAAAAAUUCAGGGAUGCUUAAUGGGUUAUUUUGGGCUAAAAGGGUACAGAAUUGUGUGAGAAGCUAGGUUUUAUUUUGGUAUAUGGAUAGAGAGUGAUUUGGGGGAAAAAUAGAGACAAAAGGAUGAAGUUUUGAGGCUUUUAGGUGAGCUGGAAGUAAAAAAACGGAAAUAAAAAUUUUGUUUGUGUUGUGAAUGUGAAAGCUAAUUUUUGGAUGGGUGGCUAUGGGUUUAUGCUUUUGGUUGCUAGGGUUCAAUGGAGAUGGAAUCAGAUCCGAAUUUGAGAUUAUACAAUGCUGUAAUUAAAGAAAAAGAAGAAGAAAAGUGAUAUUUUCUAGGCAUUACACCUAGAAUCCCAUAGGCAUCACACCUAGAGUUAGAAUUGCAUCACACAACUCGAAAAGAAAUAAUAAUUACUUAGGAAAAAUCUAUGAAUUUUUGACUGCCAUUAAAAACUACAGCUUGUUUAUAGAGUUCUAAUCAAGGUUCGUCGUCUUGAUACCAGACCCCCUAUUGGUGCCAAACUAGCACAAUGUUGGUACAGUACGAUAUGGGAUUUUUUGGCGUACUGAGUAUCGGUAUGCCACCCAUAUCGGAUAUCGGUAGCGAACCGAUACGGUACAGUACACCCUAUACUGUCCGAUUCGGACCGGUAUGGCAUAUCAUAGUUCUAAUACUCCUACUAGGACUCCAAAUAGCAAUUCUAUAAUUUUGCCUAAUAAAACCCAACUAAAGAUCAAAAAUAAAGCCCAAAAACAUAAAUAUACCUAACAUACAACCUAUAAGACAUAUGACAGCCCAUGUCCAGAAAAUCUGAAAAAUUACAAAAAAAACUGACUCUAAAAAUUUAAGAAAAUGUUAAUAAAACUGAAACAACAUUAUCAUCCUGCUGAGAAACAUAAAAUUAAGAUAUUAUAAUGACUAAUCGACCCUAAGCAAGGUAACAAGGGAGCCCUACAUCAUCCAAAUCAAGGCUUGAGCAAUAAAACCAGCCUAGGAUGCCUUUUAUAGGUCUUUAAUGGCUGCUGCCAACAUCCUCGGUCACUUUUGGUAGGAAAUCCGCUAGUAACAGCAAAAAUUUGAUGCAAAUUGAACACAAGUAGAAGGAUGAGGGAAAAACGAGAGAAUGAGGGGGGAAGCAAGAAGAUAUGGAGAAGAGAGAAGAAAAAAACGAGGCCUAUGGCCUUUACAUUCAAUCCCAAAUUUUGAAUACUAUCAUCAUCAACUGUAUUGCAGUCCAUUAAUGACCUUCAAUAGACAUAAACAGUCCCCAUCCUUUCCUAAUUAGGACUCUAAAACUAAAUUCCAAAAUGAACGGCCAAGAUCAAACCUAAUUUAGACCAUUCAGCCAGCAAUUGCCUUCAUACUUGAUCCUCCUUUUCUGGAGUCCUUUUUCAUGACUCUACAGUCAAUCUAGAAAACCUCUCAAAUCCGGACACCUAAAGUUUCCUAAAAGAUUCCUAUUUGACAAAUUUAAUAAAACAAAACAGAAUAUGAUAACUUGCAUCCCAAGCAAAGGGCCUAGUAAAAGCCAUCUUUGAUUGAAUGCUCAGGGAACCAACAAAAGCUUGAUUGAGACGGUCCUUUUCUUCAGUUCACAUCCAUUAUGCUUGACCACUUCUUGUGAUCCUCUGGUUGGUGCCAUGUCCUUGAUCCCAUCAUUGAAUCUCUCAAACUUGGUGAUGGAAUCCAUUGCCAAUUCUCCACAUAAUGCUCCUGUUGGAUAAUUUUGGCAGCACUUUCUUCUCAAUAUUCACAAGGGGCUUGAUAAACUGCAAGAACUUAUUGAAAGUUGGAACUUUUGGCUUAUAGUCAAUUGGAUCUAAGAAGUGGUGCUUGAUUAAAAAUAUCAGCUCAUUAUUGUAAAUUAUUACAAAUAUCGCAGUGGCACUUCCCCGUCCCUCAUACAAUGAUUAUCUAGUUUAUCAUCAUGAGAAGCAUAUGUAGUUGAGCAGACCUUAAUUACCAUGGAGAAAAAGAAACAGGGACAACUCUGUAAUAUCAAAUGCAUCAUGCUCAUGGUAUCUACUCAACAUAUUUGAACAUUAUAUGCAUAAAAAUAUGCUUUUUUACUUUAUUUGAAAAGAUAUCGAAAUGAAUAUAUGCUCAAAUGGCUGAAAAAAGGUUCCACAGUUGCAAAUAAUACUUCGCAAUGUGCUUACAACAACAAAUAUAUAUUUAUACAAUUGUAUGUUUUCAUUUACACAAAAUUUCAGAUAUUUAAGAGUAAUAUAACGCACCUCUCCAGAAGCAAUAGUAAGGACAUGCGGUGUAAAUCCUUGUCCAACAUUACCUGCAUAAAGCAUUAAAUAUAUAUGUAUAUAUGUAUGUGGGUGUGUACGAUUUCAUACAAAUAUAUAUUUGUAUAAUAGUAUCUGUGUGUAUAUCUUGACCUCGCACAAGUGUAGCCAAAUAUAUUACUUCAGCAUGCCCUUACAAUUUUGUCUGGAACAUGUAUAUUGUGCCAUGGCAUAACAGGCUAAUCAUUCAAACACAUGUAUGGAUGCAAAAGCAAAUGAAACCAAUAUUUGCUUAACAACUACUUUUUCCAACUCUAUCAAAAUGAACAAGUAUUGCUUAACAUCUAGUCAUUCUUAAUAAAGUGUUAUUAUAAUGUUUAAGAAAUUGUCUCUUUUGUAAAUAGGACUAAAUCAGUGCAUCAACCUUUAUCAAUGCAUUCUGUGUGCCAUGCUUGUAAUAUGACGAGACAUUCUUCCAUGCAGAAUCCGAUAUUAUGUUGCUGUUUAUUUUUAUUGCAUGAAUUAAUACAUGAGUCAAGGAAUCAAUGAGAAAAGGUCUAAAUUGUAUUAUUAUUCAAUUUCAAGCAUAUUAAUCAAUAUCUCAAUAUCUAAGUUGCAAAGGUUUUCAUCAAAUAUUAACUUUAUUCAUAUGUAAUGCAAAUGGAAAGAGAGAAUAAUCAUCAUAUGGUGGUGCAGACACCAGUGCCAGAUCACCCGUCAUUCGGGUCUAUAGUCGCCGCAGGAGGAUGGUUCAGCUAGUUUCAUUGUGGUUAGAGUGAUUUUAUUUUAUUUGGGCUUAUUAGAGUAUUUUGUUAUUUGAUAGUUUUUAGGGCUUAUUUUGAUACUUUGUUAUCUUUGAGGAUCUUUGUAAGAUUAAUUUCCUUUUAGGGAUCUUUUUGCAUUUUCUGAGUCUAAUAAAUAUGUUGGACCGUACAUCGUUUAGGGUAUACUAUGAAUGAAAUUGUGAUUCCUUUCUUUUAGCUCUGGCGUGAAACCCUAAGCAGGGCUAGGUGCGAAGCCUAGUUCUUUCUUCCUCCUCCCUCCUCUCUCCUCUAUUUCUUCUUCUCUCUUUCUUUUCUUCCCCUGCUGUCUGGCAUCAGCAUUGGUAUUAGAGCUCGGUAAACAAAAAAAAAAGUUCUUCACGUGGGUGUUGUUCUUUCGCGUGGGGAUCCCAAGCGGGUUUUCUUCACGUGGUUUUCUUCUUUCUUUCCAAAGCCGUAAGCCCUCUCUUCUCCCCAUGCAUUCCUGUUUGCAGCGGAUCGCAUUAAAAAAAAGAAAGAAAGAGGAAGCCUGAGACGGCCAACGAAGAACCACGCGCCGCUCCAGAGCGCCCGUCGCCGCCUUCUCCUUCAGCAAACGUCAUCACGCCUCACCACCGUCGCCACGAAAGCAGGUAACCACCUGCAACUCCUCCCCCUCAAAGCCUCCACGAAGGAGCCGAAAUAGGAACGGGUCACUGGAGUGGUCGUGCCCGUUAACCCGAGUCUGUUUCGCUGGAAAAAAAAAAGGAAAAAAGGGGGGAAAGAACUUACUAUUCAUCUUCCUCCGCGACCGCCCGCAGAGCCGCACCACCCUUGCCGCCCCCACCUCCGACGUCGCCAUUUCCACCUCCACCAUCGUCGCUUCCAUCUCCGCCCCGCCUCCCUCGUCCCAGUUGCUCCCACGGCUGCGUCCACCACACCCUCCACACCCGCCCCUUUGCUCUGAACGCAAGGGGAAGCAACCCCGAGUUCCGCCGCCUCCCCGCUACCCCUCACAGGCCUGCCCCCUUCCACCGCGCUUCGCCCCCUCCUUCAUCUUCCCCGAUCGCCCCUCCCUUCCCCUCAUUCUCUCCAAGGUUUCGGCAUUGAAACCCUUUUUCACACCACAUCAAGUCCAUGUACUCCUUCCUCGAACCCCUUCUCAUCAUCACGCGUUCGGGGCCAACAAACCCAACUCAAUCCGCUCCACAGCCACCUUCCCGAUUCCCGACCCCCUCUCCUCGACCCCUCCCUUCCUCGAGCCUGUUUUGCACCCUGCGCCCCUUUCUCAUCCGCCAGCCUGCCUGGCCAAGGCCCACCGCAUCCCCUACGGGCCCAGCAGGCCCAUCAGGCCCAACGAGUUGCUGUGAUCAGACUCGAUUUGAACCAUUUGAAGAGUCCGUUUGCUACGACCGCGCUUCUAAUUGUCGUCCACAGCCCAGGUCAGAUUUCUUCUCUUCCUAAAAAUCUAUUUGUUUGUCUAAAUUUCAGCAUCUAUGAACUCUUGUGUGCUCCGUUGACUUAUCUUACUGUGAAUUCAACACAUACACCCAAACAACCUAAGAAACCCUUAUAGUGGCCCAUCUUGUUAUUAAUUGCAGGGCUGCCUAAUCUUUAGAAGUUCUUUGAGGCUCCGUGAUACCCUGCAACACACAGAAUACUAGCACUAUUUGAUUGCAAUUACUUGCUUGCAUUUAUUACGUGAUCCCCUACUUGAUUUUAUUUACUAAAGAUCAGCUUUCCGUUUAUAUUGAGCAUAUAUAGUAAGUGCCAGGCAUCAUUUUCAUGCAUUAGGUCUGCCUAAGAACUACCACUGUCUUAGCUUUGUAGGGCCACUGACAACUUUGCACACUCAUUAUAUGCACCUUCGUAGUGGUCGUAUUGUCUUCCAGUUAGAAUCCCAAGUUGUCAUGAAUCCCAACAACGAAGCCUUGCUAAAGGCUGUCCAAAACUUGACCACAGUGUCCACCUAGGCCAACGCCCGAUUAGACUCAAUUGAGGCUUCCCUUCAGAGGAUUAUGGGAUCCACAGAAGAUAGUGCCUCUCAUUUGGAAGGCCCAGAGGUCAAGGAUGAAACCCUAGACCAUCUAGGAUCUGUUCGACAUGGCCACUUUGACCCUAAUCCCUUUCCAGGCCGCCCUCCAACCUACCCUCGUCAUAAAGGACCGAUGCCAGUCCCUGAUGUCGAUAGGAGUUAUCAGCACAAUAUAGAACCUACAGAGCCUCGUGACCAUGAUGAAGAUGUAAUGAAAGGCAUUCGGAUUGAAGUCCCCACAUUUGAUGGUUGCCUUGACCCAAAGGUCUUCUCAAACUAGUUGCACAAAAUGGACCACUUUUUGGAUGAUAUAAUUUAUCUGAAGAAAAGAAGGUCCAGUUUGCCAGAAUGAAGCUCAUCGGUCGAGUUAAGCUUUUCUAGCAAAACACUUAAUAGAAGGGUAUUCGUGCAAAAAAUCCUUUAUUUUAUUUGGGCUUAUUAGGAUAUUUUGUUAUUUGAUAGCCUUUAGGGCUUAUUUUGGUAUUUUGUUAUCUUUGAAGGUCUUUAUGAAAUUAAUUUCUUUUUAGGAGUCUUUUUGCAUUUUCUAGGUCUUAUAAAUAUGUUGGACCGUACAUCGUUUAGGGUAUGCUAUGAAGAAAUUGUGAUUUCUUUCUUUUAGCUCUAGCGUGAAACCCUAAACAGGGCUAGGUGCGAAGCCUAGUUCUUUCUUCCUCCUCCCUCCUCACUCAUUCUCUAUUUCUUCUUCUUUCUUCUUCUCUCUUUCUUCUCUUCCCCUGUUGUCUGGCAUCAUAUGGAGCCCAAAAUCUUCUUUCUGGAACUUGCAAGCUCAAAAGAGCAUAUAAUAAUUUAUGCACGGCUAAAAUGAAUGCUUAGGAAGUUUACUUUGGAAAAGCAUUUAGAUUUUCAAAAAUAAUUCCAGCGACAAUGAAUUGCAAUCGGAAAUGAAAUUGCAAUCCGCCAAAACGGUACCGGAACCUAUACCAUUCAGCGGGAGAGUCGGUAUGGUAUGGGUUCAGUACCAUACCGACACAAGCCCAAAUUUUUUGUAAGUUUUUCAAGUUUGAUUAAUUAAUAUUUCUAAUUUUUCAAUAAUUUUAAGUAUAAUUUAAUAUUUUUUAAUAUUUCUAUGAUCCCGAUUUAACCUAAAUGAUGCAUUUUGUUGUUUUAAAGUGAGACAAAACAUAAAAUGAUUAGUUAGAUGUUCUAUGCUACAAGAAACAAUAUGAAAUAUCCUAAAAUCAACUAGUGAGGUAAAAAAUAUAAAAUAAUACAAUCAAUUACAUAUAUUUAAAGUACAAUAUACAUACCGAUAUCUAAAAUCUCAACAAGUGGCGAUGCCUCUCACAGAUAUGCAGAUCAUUAAUAUAGUCAGAGGGCAUAUCAGCCCACCCCUCUAACUAAGCAGUGUUAUAGUUUUAUAUAUUCAUCCCAUAAGGAACACUCUGGGUUAUAAGCACUCUCGAAGCUCUAUCUCUAAGAGAUGUCCUUCGGCCAAUAAUACGACUGUGAAGGGGCCCAUCCGAAUAAGCCGGUAACAAAAUCCAAAAUUUUGGCAUAAAAUCAAAAUAAAAAAUCAAGCUAAAAUCAAAAAAUUUAGCAUGAUCUUUUCUUAUUUUGCAAAUUUUGAGCUAUUUUUUGGAGCCCCAAAAAAACAGAAAAUGAAGUAGGAGAGAGGAAGCACACCUUAUUUAGGAUUGGAUCCUUCUUCACUCAUACUGAAUCGGUGUAAUUUUUGUCAUGGGGGGAAGGGGAAGUGGGGAACAAAAUGAACAUUGGAAACGCCCGAGAAACUUCUUAGGCCUUUCCAACGCCCUUUUAUAACAAAAGUAGAGGGCGAGGCGGGCCAGUUCAGAACCGGUCCAACUCGGUGCGAACAUCCGAUUCGCACCGAUUUCGAACAGAAGCAGCCAGUUCGGACCGAUUUGGGACCGGUUUCGGCCAGUUCAGGACCUAGCUCGAAUAAAAUAAGUGAACCAACCCAGUUCCCUACCAGGUUGACUCGGUACAGGCCGAACAGGACGAUUCGACCCGGUUCGACAGACCUUGGCUGGAACCUAGUUACUUAUCUAAUUAUAAUUUAAUCUUAAGGUUACAAUAUCUUAGAACCAAAAUGAUACGCUUACACAUAAAAGUUUGCAGCCAAGAUCCUAGGAUCGGCAUCCCAAAAAAAGUUAUGCAAAGCUCUAAUAGACACUAAAUGGCUAGACCUUUUUCAAGAUUGAUAUAUAGUGGAAGAAAUCCAAAUUUUCUCAAAGUUUUGUUGGAGGCACAGAAACCUACCUAUAAAAGAAAAUAGGAUUCCGGCUUUUCUUUUUUGUGAGGAGAAGCUUAGGAAUAUAUAAGAGGCCCUAUGAAAUUAUAGUAAUAAUGCAUAUUGUGUUGAGCAAGGUUCGCCGUCUCAGUACCUGACCUCGUACCAGUGCCACACUAGCACAGUGUCGGUACGGUACGGUACAGAAUUUUUUGAUAUACCAAAUAUUGGUACGCCAUCCGUACCGGAUACCGGUAGUACGAUACGCCCUAUAUCGCCCAAUUUGGAUCAGUAUGGCAUACCUAUUGUUGAGUCUUAAGAAUACAUAGCUAAAAGAAAUUAGGAAGGAGCAUGGAACAUCUUAAAAAUACUAGCAAAAUUAAGAUCAUAACCAGAUUUUUAGACCCAAAAAGGGAGUCAAGAAGGCAUUUGUAAGGACAGAGGGUCUAGUAGAAGUAUGCUUGCAAAACAAGACUAAAUGGAUCCUAAAGUCUUGUAGGAACUUCAAAUGUUUUUUGUGCUGUUUUUAAAGAUCUGCAUAAAUCAGAACAUGAUAAGGUGGUUUAGAAGAGAAGAGAUGCAAAUUGAUGACUUUAGAUCCACACAAAAUUAAAAAGGAAUUUACUUAUGUACCACUCCAACAUUUGAAGCCUGAUCUCGACAAUCAGGAGGCAACCAAAAGCGACUGCUUUCUGAUGAAUAAGAAAUCUAGUAGUGAAAACCAGUUUUCUGUGCAGUCAAUAGCGGAUGCUCUUAUGGAGGCAAUAUUCUGAAAGCACCCAGUCCAGAUGUGUUCUUGAUUGAUUGUUUAUAGCAAGGUUUUUGUCAAAAAUUUCCAAUUUUUUUGAAUCACAGAAAUUUUUUAAGUAUAUUAGUCGUACCUUCUUAGUUUGAUACAAAAAGAAAUUAAAUGACAAUGUUACUGGUAAGUUCGGGCCAUACACUGUUGCAAUAUUUACAAGUCCAAAUACCAAGUUAGUCACUUCUAGGCUACAAGCUUUCCUUUUCAAGAAAGAAGAGGUGAAGUUCCUGCCCAUUCUAUUGAGAGAUGAGGGAGAUCAUAGCUUCCAGCACACCCUUAUGACUUCUUUUCAGUACUAGUUAAUAGAUAUUUUCACCUUAAGUUAAUUAAGAUUUUAUCAAAAGAAAAUCUGCAACAAUAUCCUACUAGUCGAUGAAAUUCUUCGAAAGUUGAAGAAAAGAUGAGGGUCCAAGUUUGCUUAAAAGGGGAAUCAAGAUGGCUUAUUACACAGUUAAUAGAAAAAUCGAGGAAGAAUUGAAUUACUGGGCUGGUAAAAUUACUUGGACUUUUGAAUAUAUUGGUCUGCCAUUUUAUAAAUAUAUUUUAUUAGAAGGGCUGCUGAUCUUUUCUAAUAAAUGAGGCCAGGUGAUUGUAUGUCACCUUGUUACUGUAACAUGGAUGCCAUAACAACUUUCUUUGAGCUUGCACAAUUCAAUGGACAUUUUCCACCAUAAGUGAAAAGAGAGAAUAUAAGUUUAUCCAUCUAAUAUUUGCUGAUGAUGUUCUAGUGUUUGGCAUUGAAGAUAGAAGGCCUUUUAACAGAUUAAUGAGAAAUUCAAGAAUCUAGAAGAAUUGCUUAGCUUAAUCUUGAAAGAACUUGUUUCAACCCGGAGGAAAGGUUGUACAGUUGAAGUAUUGGGCUAUACAAGCUUCAACUUUGUUGAAAGAUUUACCAAAAAAUACAGGGAACUCUCUUUCACAGACAUUGAAAAAGAAAUGUGGUGAAAUAUUGAGACAGAAUAAACACUAGGAGGAAUUAUAUAUCAGUCCUUAGCAAAGUUAAUGUGUAGUCUAGCUCCCGUGCAUCACCAUGGAUGGGAAGCUGGGACAAAAGAGGUGCUCUAUGGGAACAAGUCCGGGGAGCAAGGCAAGAAAUUAGGCUGGGUAUAAAAAGAGUAAUGGAUGCAAACCUAGCUUAAUUAUUUGAGUAAUUUUGGAGCAUAUAUAUGAUAGUUUAUGGAGCAACCAAACAAGAUAUAGCAUCACCUUCACCCAGAAAUAUGCUACAAUUUUAACCUUCCUUCAAUUCUAAACGGUUAUCCACAGUAUAAAUAAUGACAAAGUAGUCCCUCAAGUCAUGAUUGGCAAUGGCUCAAACUCAGGAAACCCCACCUGAUUUUAUAGAAGAGAUUAUGGCAUCGCUAAUCUCCACUUCAUUGUUAUUCAUACUUCUCCUUCUCAUCAUCCAAGAUUUCAUCAUUAAAUCUUUAAUCCAAGGAAAAAUUGCAUCAUGAUUACCAUGACUGCAUGACCUUAAGCUACAAAGUUUUUGAAUAUUAUCAAUCAGAAGAAAAUGCCAUUUAAGCACUAAAUCUUUAAUGCAAGGAAAAAAUUGCAUUGCGAUUUCCAUGAUUGCAUGAGAUGGCAAGCCUUGGUGCAAUGGUAAGGUAGCUCCAUUAUGACUUUACCACCACGAGUUCGAAAUAUGAAAAAACCUUUCCAUGCAUGUGGGUAAAGCUACAUAAAUCUGACCCUCCCCAAACCCCAUAGUGGCAAGAGCCUCAUGCACUAAGAUACCCUUUCUAGACAAUGAUCUAAUGACCUUAAGCUACAAAGUUUCUUGAUAUUUUUAAUCAGAAGAAAAUUCCUUCUAGGCUGUGCAUGAGGUCACAUUGUGUUAAUCAGUCCAAACACAGGAUUAAGAUAUGUAAUCUUCAUUUAAGAAGUUAAUUUCGUGUGACAAGCUUAUGGUGGUUUCUCUGCUAUGAAGACUUCCCCUUGUCCCAUGAAAAUGUGAAGACCAAGCAGCCAAGCAAAGCUAUACAAACCUCAGAUGAAUAAUCAUCAUGCAACAAAUUGGAGUAGGCCACAAAAUCAUAUUCCAUUGUGGUUACAUUAGCUUUGCAUGUGUUCUCUUGAGAGUUUUAAACAUUGAAUUCUUCCUUCAUUUUAGGAAGCAAUGUCAAAGAAUAAAGUACCGCUCCCUACAAGGUGAGCCAUGCAAAAGUUUGGCACCCUUAGAAUUCACUAGAAUGGUAGCAUACCAAGUAUUCGCAUGCAACCUGUAUCAUGCCAGUGCUAUGUGCCGAUAAGACACUAACACAAUAAGUAUCAUGCAUGUCAUGCCAUCGUAACCAGCACUUUAAUCCAUGAGCAUAUCCUGUUCUUCCCCUUGAUGUCAUCCCUAUAUUGAUGAAUUUUUGCAUGUGGAUUUUCCAUGCUUCUGCAAGGUUUAAUUCAUAUGCAUAGACAGAACAUUGAAAUCUUUAACCAUAACCAUUCAAUCAACUUUGGUCACCACAAAUCACCAUUACUUUCAAUGACCAAUAUUCUUCAAAAAUGAUCUAAAUUUAGGAAAGGUACAGAUUUUUCAACUUCUGUGCUUCUUAAGGCUUUGUUUGGUGGUGAAAAGAAAAUGAAAGGAAGGACAAGUAAAUUGGUGGAGGGAAAUGAAUGAAGAGAAAAAUGAGAAUGUUCUCAUGUCUAGUCAAAGCUAAGGAAAUUGCAAAGAACCUAGAAACAAAUUAGUAAAGAAAUUGGCAAAGAAACUUGUACACUUUCUACCUAUUAAAGUUGCCUUUUCUAGGAAAGCUAGCUCGAUUACAUACGAAAGAAAUUGUGAGGUUGAAUGGAAUUCUUGUAACCAUUGUAUCAAAUAGAGGCACUAGAUUUGUAUUGCAAUUUUGGAAGAGUUUGCAUAAGGCCUUAGGGACUAAGCUGAACUUCAAUACUGCUUUCCUCCCAAAAUUGAUGGUCAGUUAGAAAGGACAAUUCAAAUCUCAGAAGAUAUAUUUUGAGCUUGUGUUCUUGAUAUGAAAGGAUAAAGGGAAGAGCAUCUAACUUGGGUGGAUUCACUUAUUAAUAAUAAUCACCAGGCUAACAUCCAGAUGGCACCUUAUAAGGCAUUAUACGGUAGAAAAUGUCAAUCGCUCAUUUGUUGAGUGGAUGUUGGUGAUAUAAGAUUAUUAGGAGCAAAGAUUGUACAACAAAUAGUGGAGAAGAUACAAUUAAUCAAAGAGGGAAUUCAUGCAAUUUAGAGAAGAUAAAAGAGCUAUGCAGAUUUAAGGAAACGGGACCCAGAGUUUCAAGUAGGUGAUCAUGUAUUUCUUAAAGUGGGAAUUGUGAGGUUCGAAAUCCAAGGCAAGUUGAGUCUUAGGUCUAUUGGCCCAUUUGAGAUACCAAAAAGGAUUAGUUAGAUAGCUUAUAGAGUUGCUUUGUCACCUUCAUUAGCUAGUAUACAUGAUGUCUUUCAUGUUUCCAUGUUAAAGAAGUAUGUGCUAGACCUGAGACAUGUCAUAAAGCUCAAAUCCUUGUCUUAUAAAGGACUUGGCAAAUGAGGAGCACCCUUUACAAACUGUGGACCAUAAAGAUCAAGUAUUGCAACGUCGUAUCAUUCAUUAUGUUAAAGUGCAACAGAGCCAUCAUCCAGAAAGAGAAGCCAUUUGGAAACUAGAGGAUGAAAUAAGGAGAAAGUAUAUCCAACUUUUUGAAGACUCGUAAGCAAGGUCGGCAGAACCGUCCCGAACCACCCGGUUCAGGGCGUUCCGAGUUGUACCGGCUACAGACUAAAACGAUUUUGGUGAUGAAAACGAGAUCUGCACCAGAGAGGGAGAAGACGAAGAAAAAAGAGAAAAAGAAGAGAGAGAGAGAGAGGAGAGGAGAGGAAGGAAGAGAAAGGAAGGUCGAGGCCGGCCGGCGGACACCGAAGAGCCGUCACGCAGAGGAGGGAGCCAUAGAAGAGAGGCUCGCUUCGGUCCCCUAUUCGUUCAAAAUAGGGCCCAAAGGGGCUCCUUUUAUUUUUUAAGAUUUUAAUUGAAAAUCAACAAACCCAUUGCCGACUUUCACUUAAAAACCUCAAAAAUAAAAGAGCCCCCGUCGGCCCUUAUUUCAAAUGAAAUAGGAAACUGGAAGCCCUUCUUCUGUGGCUUCCUAACGGCUCUCCGGCCUCUGCCUCCUCCGCCGACGGCUCUCCAGCCCUCUACUGGCUCUCCAUCAGCCUCCCCUUCUCUCUCUCUUUUUCUCUCUCGUUCUUCCUCUCCCCUAACUCUUUUACUAUGUCGGUACGGGCCCGACAUGGUACGGUGUGGGCCUGUACCGAUUCAUCUUGCCGGACAACCGGUAUGGUACCUGGUACCGGUUCCGCCGACUCUACUCAUAAGAAAAUAUCAUGGAUGAAAUUUUAUAAAGGAAGGAAUAGUAAGGCCUGUCCAAAUAGUUGGCCUAAGUCAAUAUGGACCUAGUCCACUAACCGACCUAGCCCAUAUGAGGCCUAACGUUUGGUAUGACCUACUGUCGAAGCAUGGCCCGAAACGGCCCACUCCCAAAAAUUAAGUGGAGCAAAGCCCUUGUUCCAACUCGAUGAAGGAGGUUAAAUCCCCCCCUCCUUCUUGGUCACUAAAGGAGGCUAGGAAACCCUAGCCUCCACCGGCAAUAAGACCUCACCAAUCUCCUAUGAGACCGCACUGUGAAUUUUUUUCUUCUUCUUCACACACUAUCUCUGGUUUUUGUGCCAUCUGCCACCAUCAAUAUGGUCGCCGCUAAAUCUCGCCGAAGGUAAGGUAAUCAACACCUUUGUCCCUUCUAAGCACUCUUCCCUUUGAAUCCCUUCUUUGAGCCAUCGCCGCCAGCCAAGUAUUCACUAGAAAAGCUCGGAUUUCACCACAAGCAUCCCUUCUCUAUUUCAUUACUCGCCGAUCUUUUCCUUUGUUUUUGAAGCCAGCUGCAAGCGUCCUCUCUCCGGCCAUCACUCCUCAACAGUUACGUCAAAACCCACAACCUCUGACAAGCGAGCUGAGGUUUGGUUCAAUGCUAAGCUUUGUUUCCCUCUCUCCUUUUUGUUCCUUUUCAAUUGAUCGUUCGUCGUCAUUAACCAUCACCAUAGAUUGUCAACUAUCUGACACUCACUGUAUUGCUCACAAGAGCUGAUCAUAGCUCCUCUGCCGAGAGUUGCAAACCACCCCACCAUCAGCACAUGAACCACUAUUUUCUUCUCCCCCUUCUCUCUAAUCUUUGUCACUUUCUCUCUUCUUCUCUCUUUCUCUCUCUCGUAUAAUUGUGGACCCAACAAAGAGUGCCUUCCUUAUGUUCAUGGUCGACCCCGACAAAGAAGUCCUAAACAAUGUCUAGUGCCCACUCAAUAUGUCAUCCCCCACCCCAACUCUCACUGGGCAUCACCAGACCCCAUCAUCGUCAAUCUCCUGUUAUGCAUCACUAUCUGCUAAUUGUUGGGAUUGAUUCUGUGUAGAGUGCAAUCAUCUAGACAAGAAGUCCAACAAGACAUUAUUACAAAAUAGUCCUUAAAUCAAUGCUUUUAAAGAAACAUUUUCAAAAUUUACUUCAAAUUUUCUAUGUGCACGCAAUGUUAGAAAAUUUUCUAACAUUUUCUAGACUUGUUAAUUAAUUAAUAUAAAUUUUUGGCAUCAAAUAACUUAAAAAUCAAUUUACGUGGGAUUUAUCAAUUUUAUGAAAUUGUAUUUGGAAUGAAAAAUAAAUUUACUGAAUAUUAUGCAUGUCAUUUAUAGAUAUUAUAUGGAAUAUGCACAUUUUGAUUAGAAUAUGAUACACUACAACCUUAAGAAACCCAAAAAAAAUAACGAAAAAAAAAAAGAAGCCAAGACAAAGAGUAAUAAAGGACAUAAAAAUAAAGAAGAAAAGAAAAGGCCAAGAAACAUUACAAAAAUGCAUUCAAGUCGAAGCUUCAAAAUAUAGAUAAGUCACAUAAAUCAAUGUGAUAAUUCAGAGUCUCUUAUUUCGGGUUCUAAAAAUGAAAACUAUCAUGCAUUGCGCUCUAAAAUUACAGAAAA
rnacentral:lncRNA from 1 species